AGGGGGAGGCCAGAUCCUUGGCUGUGUCCCAGUCGCCCUGUGCUCCGGAUCCUGCGCUGUUGGAUUCCUGCUCCCAGACGAGCAGCCCCCU
rnacentral:pre_miRNA from 1 species